AGCCUCUAGAUUCCUUGCCUAUUAGAUCUAAACAUUGGUCUGAAUGGCUAUAAAAAGAGGAAAAGUAAAACUGAAAUGGACUUGGAUUCUUUUGUGACAAUCAAGUUCAUUUCAAACAAAG
ensembl:snoRNA